rnacentral:rRNA from 1 species
GCGGUCGCCUCCUAAAAGAUAACGGAGGCGCUCAAAGGUUUGCUCAGAAUGGUUGGAAAUCAUUCGUAGCGUGUAAAGGCAUAAGCAAGCUUGACUGUGAGACUGACAAGUCGAGCAGGUACGAAAGUAGGACUUAGUGAUCCGGUGGUUCCGUAUGGAAGGGCCAUCGCUCAACGGACAAAAGCUACCCCGGGGAUAACAGGCUCAUCUCCCCCAAGAGUCCACAUCGACGGGGAGGUUUGGCACCUCGAUGUCGGCUCAUCGCAUCCUGGGGCUGUAGUCGGUCCCAAGGGUUGGGCUGUUCGCCCAUUAAAGCGGUACGCGAGCUGGGUUCAGAACGUCGUGAGACAGUUCGGUCCCUAUCCGUCGUGGGCGCAGGAAAUUUGAGAGGAUCUGUCCUUAGUACGAGAGGACCGGGAUGGACAUACCUCUGGUGUACCAGUUGUUCUGCCAAGAGCACCGCUGGGUAGCUACGUAUGGAUUAGAUAAUCGCUGAAAGCAUCUAAGUGAGAAACUAACCUCGAGAUGAGAUUUCCCAUUCGUCAGAAGUAAGACCCCUGAGAGACGAUCAGGUAGAUAGGCUAGAAGUGGAAGUGUAGUGAUGCAUGGAGCGGACUAGUACUAAUAGGUCGAGGACUUAACCAAG